AGAGCUUGAUCCUGGCUCAGAACGAACGCUGGCGGCAGGCCUAACACAUGCAAGUCGAGCGGACGUCCCUCUAAUAAAGGACGCCAGCGGCGCACGGGUGAGUAACACGUAAGAACCUACCUCGUUCAACGGCACAACGCAGGGAAACCUGCGCUAAUUCCGUAUGACUCCUGUACCAGGUAAAGAACCCUUCGGAACGAGAUGAGCUUGCGCUAGAUUAGCUCGUUGGCGGGGCAAACGCCCACCAAGGCAACGAUCUAUAGCUGGUCUGGGAGGACGGACAGCCACACUGGGACUGGAACAAGGCCCAGACUCCUGCGGGAGUCAGCAGUGAGGAAUCUUGGACAAUGGGCGAAAGCCUGAUCCAGCCAUGCCGCGUGAGCGAUUAGAAGCCAAACCUUCUGAAGGUUCGUAAGGAACCGUAAACCUCUUUUGCCAAACGAAAAUGAUGAUGGUAGUUUAAGCGAAUAAGCUCCGGCCAACUUCGUGCCAGCAGCCGCGGUAACACGAGGGGAGCAAGCGUUGUUCGGUUUGAUUGGGCGUAAAGCGCGCGUAGGCGGCUGCGCAAGUCGAUGGACAGAAGCCAAACGGCGGAGCUCAACUCCGUUCCGCUUCCGAUACUACGCGGCUUGAGGCCGGUGGAGGCGAACGGAACUCCAAGUGUAGAGGUGAAAUUCGUUGAUAUUUGGAGGAACACCAGAGGCGAAAGCGGUUCGCCAUGCCGGUUCUGACGCUAAUGCGCUAAAGCGUGGGGAGCAAACAGGAUUAGAUACCCUGGUAGUCCACGCCCUGAACGAUGAGUGCUAACAGCUGGAAACCUAACACAAGGUUACGGUUUUUGAUUGAUAAAGCUAACGCGUUAAGCACUCCGCCUGGGGAGUACGGCCGCAAGGUUGAAACUCAAAGGAACUGACGGGGACCCGCACAAGCGGUGGAGCAUGUGGUUUAAUUCGAAGCUGCACGCAAAACCUUACCAGCCUUUGACAUUGUAGGUCGGUUGCGAACCGAAACGUCCGCACCCAAUGACCUUGCAACAGGUGCUGCAUGGCUGCCGUCAGCUCGUGUCGUGAGACGUACGGUUAAGUCCUACAACGAGCGCAACCCUCGUCCUUAGUUGCUUCCAAGCGAAAGCUAGCUCUCUAAGGA
rnacentral:rRNA from 1 species